rnacentral:rRNA from 1 species
UGGGAAUAUUGGACAAUGGGCGGAAGCCUGAUCCAGCAACGCCGCGUGAGGGAUGACGGCCUUCGGGUUGUAAACCUCUUUCAGUACCGACGAAGCGAAAGUGACGGUAGGUACAGAAGAAGGACCGGCCAACUACGUGCCAGCAGCCGCGGUAAUACGUAGGGUCCGAGCGUUGUCCGGAAUUAUUGGGCGUAAAGGGCUCGUAGGCGGUUUGUCGCGUCGGGAGUGAAAACAGCGGGCUUAACUCGUUGCUUGCUUUCGAUACGGGCAGACUAGAGGUAUGCAGGGGAGAAUGGAAUUCCUGGUGUAGCGGUGAAAUGCGCAGAUAUCAGGAGGAACACCGGUGGCGAAGGCGGUUCUCUGGGCAUUACCUGACGCUGAGGAGCGAAAGUGUGGGGAGCGAACAGGAUUAGAUACCCUGGUAGUCCACACCGUAAAACGUUGGGCGCUAGGUGUGGGGUCCUUUCCACGGAUUCCGUGCCGUAGCUAAACGCAUUAAGCGCCCCGCCUGGGGAGUACGGCCGCAAGGCUAAAAACUC